rnacentral:rRNA from 1 species
GAUGAACGCUGGCGGCGUGCCUAAUACAUGCAAGUCGAGCGAACGGACGAGAAGCUUGCUUCUCUGAUGUUAGCGGCGGACGGGUGAGUAACACGUGGAUAACCUACCUAUAAGACUGGGAUAACUUCGGGAAACCGUAGCUAAUACCGGAUAAUAUUUUGAACCGCAUGGUUCAAAAGUGAAAGACGGUCUUGCUGUCACUUAUAGAUGGAUCCGCGCUGCAUUAGCUAGUUGGUAAGGUAACGGCUUACCAAGGCAACGAUGCAUAGCCGACCUGAGAGGGUGAUCGGCCACACUGGAACGGAGACACGGUCCAGACUCCUACGGGAGGGAGCAGUAGGGAAUCUUCCGCAAUGGGCGAAAGCCUGACGGAGCAACGCCGCGUGAGUGAUGAAGGUCUUCGGAGCGUAAAACUCUGUUAUUAGGGAAGAACAUAUGUGUAAGUAACUGUGCACAUCUUGACGGUACCUAAUCAGAAAGCCACGGCUAACUACGUG